GAAAUGCGAUAAGUAAUGUGAAUUGCAGAAUUCAGUGAAUCAUCGAAUCUUUGAACGCACCUUGCGCUCCUUGGUAUUCCUUGGAGCAUGCCUGUUUGAGUAUCAUGAAAUCUUCAAAGUAAAUCUUUUGUUAACUCAAUUGGUUUCUACUUUGGUAUUGGAGGUCUUUGCAGCUUCACACUUGCUCCUCUUUGUUCAUUAGCUGGAUUUCAGUGUUAUGCUUGGUUCCACUCGGCGUGAUAAGUUAUCUAUCGCUGAGGACACUGUAAAAGGUGGCCAAGGUAAAUGCAGAUGAACCGCUUCUAAUAGUCCAUUGACUUGGACAAUACUUUUAUGAUCUGAUCUCAAAUCAGGUAGGACUACCCGCUGAACUUAAGC
rnacentral:misc_RNA from 1 species